rnacentral:misc_RNA from 1 species
CGCACAUUGCGCCCUUUGGCAUUCCGAGGGGCAUGCCCGUUCGAGCGUCAUUAAAUCCAAUCAAGCCUGGCUUGGUCUUGGGCGACGGAAGACCCUCCGCGCCUCAAUUUCACCGGCUGGCUGUCCUGUCUGUUAGCGUUGUGACUUACGUUUCGCUGUUAGACAGGCCGGUUCCACGCCGUUAAACCCCCACAAAUCUUUACGAUUUGAUUAAGGUUGACCUCGGAUCGGGUAGGAAUACCCGCUGAACUUAA